AUUGCAGCAUUGGUGCUUUUGUAAAAGUGAGUGCUAAAAGGUAAAGUCUAACGAUUGCAGCAUUGGUGCUUUUGUAAGAGUGAGUGCUAAAAGGUAAAGUCUGAUGAUUGCAGCAUUGGUGCUUUUAUAAAGUGAGUGCUGUCAGCUUACAGUAAAAUACUAUUACAGCCCUGUGGGAAGACUUAGGAUAGACUAUUGCCCCUUCACUGCUUGCUCGUUACAUCCAGAAUUAAUUUAGGCGUUGGCCAGCCCCAUGAAUGAAUACUGCUUACGAAGUUUCGGAGCCUUUUCCGGAGGACUUGGUUCUGGCUGGCAUCACUCCUAUGGACACUGAGAAUUCAUCCGCUCCUACUCACCAUCUCUCGGAACUGUGUAGUAAUCCUUAGUUUUAUUCUUUAAUCUAUCAGGCUGGAAACAAGAAUGUUUACCAAAAUAUUUGGAUCCUAACAGGAAAAAAAAAAAAAGAGAGAAAGAAAAGG